rnacentral:rRNA from 1 species
CCUUCGGGUUGUAAAGCACUUUCGGCCGGAACGAAAUCGCGCGGAUUAAUAACUCGUGUGGAUGACGGUACCGGAAGAAGAAGCACCGGCUAACUACGUGC